rnacentral:rRNA from 1 species
CGUGCUUAAGACAUGCAAGUCGUACGGAAAGGCUCGGUAACUUCGGUUACAGAGCACUCGAGUGGCGCACGGGUGAGUAUCGCGUGGAUAAUCUGCCUUUGGGUCUGGGACAACCCCGGGAAACUGGGGCUAAUACCGGAUAAGACCACAGUGCCUUCGGUCACAGUGGAAAAAUAUGGCCUCUCGUAGAAGCUAUCGCCCGAUGAUGAGUCCGCGUCCCAUUAGCUUGUUGGUGAGGUAAAAGCUCACCAAGGCAUCGAUGGGUAGCUGGUCUGAGAGGAUGAUCAGCCACACUGGAACUGAGACACGGUCCAGACUCCUACGGGAGGCAGCAGUCGGGAAUCUUGGGCAAUGGGCGAAAGCCUGACCCAGCAACGCCGCGUGAGGGAUGAAGGCCCUCGGGUCGUAAACCUCUGUCGGGAGGGAAGAACGGUGAUGUUUCGAAUAGGCUCAUCACCUGACGGUACCUCCAAAGGAAGCACCGGCUAACUCCGUG